AACGCACCUUGCGCUCCUUGGUAUUCCGAGGAGCAUGCCUGUUUGAGUGUCAUGAAAUUAUCAACCUUUUCGGCUUCUUCUAGCUGAUUUAGGCUUGGAUGUGGGAGUUUGCGGGCUUCUCUGAAGUCGGCUCUCCUGAAAUGAAUUAGUGGGGACCUCUGUUGCCUCAGCUUUUGGUGUGAUAGUUAUCUACGCCAUUCUGCGAAGCAGCUUUAAAAUGGGGGUUACUGCUUUCUAACCGUCUCUGCUGAGACAACUUAUGACAAUUUGACCUCAAAUCAGGUAGGACUACCCGCUGAACUUAA
rnacentral:misc_RNA from 1 species